rnacentral:lncRNA from 1 species
UUAAUCAGGUAGCUGGAUGCUCGCGUCCAAGAUCUGCAGGACUGCAGGUGAUUACAAAAUAGUUUCCCAACUUCUCUGUUUUAGCUACCUAAGAAAGGAUAUGUAUCCAAGGCAUGCAUCAUUAGUCCAACAUAAAAUUUCCACACCCAAGAUCAUCUGUGAUCGGAGGAACACUUUAUGUACAGACACGUGAAAGUGAAACUGAAGAGCUAUGUAACUACUCUAUGUAAUAUGGGCUUUUAUUUUUGACAAGGUAUGUUAAUUAUAUGAGAUGACCACUAACUUGAUUUUUUUCAGAGAUAUGUGUCGGUGUCAAAACCGGUGGAUCUCGAGUAGGGGGUCCCGAACUAUGCGUCUAGGCCGGAUGGUAACAGGAGGCAAGGGACACGAAGUUUUACCCAGGUUCGGGCCCUCUCGAUGGAGGUAAAACCCUACGUCCUGCUUGAUUAAUAUUGAUGAUAUGGGUAGUACAAGAGUAGAUCUACCACGAGAUCGAGGAAGCUAAACCCUAGAAGCUAGCCUAUGGUAUGAUUGUUGAUGUGUACGUUGUCCUACGGACUAAAACCCUCCGGUUUAUAUAGACACCGGAGAGGGUUAGGGUUACACAAAGUCGGUUACAAUGGUAGGAGAUCUUCAUAUCCGUAUCGCCAAGCUUGCCUUCCAUGCCAAGGAAAGUCCCUUCCGGACACGGGACGGAGUCUUCAAUCUUGUAUCUUCAUAGUCCAGGAGUCUGGCUGAAGGUAUAGUCCGGCUAUCCGAACACCCCCAAAUCCAGGACUCCCUCAGUAGCCCCUGAAUCAGGCUUCAAUGACGACGAGUCCGGCACGCAGAUUGUCUUCGGCAUUGCAAGGUGGGUUCCUCCUCCAAGUACUUCAUAGAAGAUUUUGAACACGAAGAUAGUGUCCGGCUCUGCAAAGUAAGUUUCCACAUAUUGCCAUAGAGAGAAUAAUAUUAACACCAAUCUAAUCUGCUGACGUAUUCCGUAGCGUGUCACACCACGGCCAAGCCUUUAUCCGAGUCGUUUCAUUAUCCCACCUCAGCGCGUCAUGCGAGGCGGUUUCCUUAGCACGUCUUGUUAAAGCAGAGAUCAUGUCCCAUCAUCCCGGGAUUCUCAUCAAUACGGGCGUGGGUAACCCAACCGUGCCAUUGAUUACGGCGCUUGAAGAUAAGCGAGUUUUACCAAGUUGGUGGGGACAUGUAGUUGCGUCCUAUAUAAGGGGAUAAGGAUCCACCUUUCCACCUACGCCUUCUUCCUCCUUCGCCUAUCCAUUGUUGCGCACUCGAGCUCCAGCGCCCAAGUCCGCACUCCCCACCUCAACCUUCUCCAGCCAUGUCCGGAGCAGGAGGCAAGUGGAUGGUCUCCUCCGUCACGGAGGGACAUAUCAAAAAGCUAAGGAAGGCCGGAUAUCUGUCUAACGACAUCGCGUACCGGUUCCCCGAAAAGGGGCAGCUCAUCCCCACCCCUAGGCCCCAUGAGAGGGUGGUGUUCCUCCCCCAUUUCCUCUGCGGACUGGGCUUCCCUCUCCACCCAUUUGUCCGGGGGCUCAUGUUCUACUAUGGCCUGGAUUUCCACGAUCUGGCCCCGAACUUCGUCCUCAACAUCUCGGCGUUUAUCGUCGUGUGCGAGGACUUCCUCCGCAUCCGCCCCCAUUUCGGCCUAUGGCUAAAGACAUUCAACGCUAAGCCGAAGGUGGUGCGCGGCAACUAGGCGGAGUGCGGAGGCGCCAUGGUGGGCAAGAUGGCCAACGUCCUAUGGCUCAAGGGCUCCUUUGUGGAGACCCUGAAGGGGUGGCAAUCUGGGUGGUUUUACAUCACCGAGCCACGCGACGCCGAAUGGGUCGCACCCCCCGAGUUCCUAUCCGGACCCCCUACGCGGCUCACCUCCUGGAAGGAGACGGGCCUAUCUUGGGGUAAAAAAGGAGAGCUGACCGGACUCCAAACAUGCAUCCAAACCCUGGCGGACAAGAAGCUCAAACUUGUCAAUGUAGUCCUGGUUAUGCUCAUCCGCCUGAUCCUCCCGUGUCAACAACGGGCUUUCAACCUGUGGGAGUUCGACCCGGCGCGGCACCAAACUCUGAGCAGGCUCUUCGACACGACGUACGAAGAUGCCUGGAAGGUGCUUUUCAAAGGCGCCGAGGCUCCCGCAUCCGCUAUCGAGGAUCGCGGAUUCAGUGCGCAGCGUCAUGCCCUCGCGGUAAGCUGUUUUUCCUUUUACAGGGUAUCAAUUCUUCAUAGCUUGACUCCAUGCGGGAUCUAAGCUCCCUUACCUUUGACAGGAUUGGCAGGUGACGUCCGGACAGAUCAACUGUCCGACUCCUUUGCCCGAAGGCCCAGCGGACGCUCGCUUGGCGAAGCUGCUGGUUCUGGCACCCUAUGUGGUGCCGGAGAAGAAGGCCGCGAAAAAGGCCGCGGGGACUCGAAAGAGUGCCCGGCGCCAGGAGGGGUCGGAUCCAUCAUCCGAUGUUUCCAAGGCGCAUUCCUCCCGUGAAGACGAGGAGGAAGAAGAGGAGAGCUCUCCCCCUCCAGCGGGAGGAGAGAAGAAAAGGAAGGCCGCCCUCUCUGGGGAGGCCGGAGGGUCCAAGAAGGGGAAAACCCUUCCUCCGGACUUCUCCACCGACGCCGACGGCGGAGAGGUGUGGCAGCCCAGGGCCAAGCCCCUGGCAAAAUCGUAAGUAUCCGGAUACCAGAGUAAUUCACAGUAUUCGUUUAUUGCACAACUUUCCCUUACGUCGAAUAUGUUUAUGCAGCCCACCCAAAGACUGGCUCGACACGUCGUCGAGCGGCUCACUGGACUCGUCGGAUGUGAACUCGCUUCCGAUGGCUUCCUCCCCCCGCCCUACGGACGACACCGAAGUGUUGUCCCAACAGGUUCCAAGCCGGGAGGAGGUGGCCCUAGAGGCGUCGCAAGGCGACCUCCCGGACUCCAGGAGUAAAGGGGAUGAAACCCCUCAGGGCUCCAAGUCCGGCUCUAGGCCGGACACCGCCCCGGAACCUUCAAAGGUUCCAGAGUCUGGCGGGGGACCUCCUUCCAAGAGGAGCAAGUCCACCAUGCCGGCGGCCCUCGUCCAACCGGAGGUGCUGGAUAAUAUGUUGGAGGCGCUCCAAGGCGCCUCCAUCGACGAGGAGCACCGCGCUAUUAUGAGUGCGGUGGUCCAGAAGACUGAAGCUUGUACUAGCCUUUUGACAGGCUUUGAGGUAAGUAAAGAAUGUGUAAAUAAUAGUACCGCAUACACAGUAGCCCCUGAUGCUCUGUUUGGCGUUCGGGAAGAAAAGCCGAAUAGAGGAUCAAAUAGAAUUCGCAGGAGUCUAACAAAAAUGAGUCAAUAUGCAUAUGCAGGCUUCCCUGCUUGUGUCCGCUGCACUGACUGUGGAAGUGGACACGCUAAAGCAGAACCUCGAGUGGUCCGAGCAAGAGCUCGGGCGUGCCAAGAAGCAGCUCGAGGACAAUGAGGGUAAGAAAUACCAUGUUUUUAAAUAUAUAUAUAUAUAAAGGUGCAAUUGCAAAGAAUGACAGGAUUAUCGUGGCUAUUUUAGGGGCCAUGUCAGAAGUGGCGACCCUUAAGAAGGUGCUGGUCGAGGCUGAGAAGAGGGCGGCCUCGGAGCGCACCGAGCGGGAGAAGUAUGAGGCCGAGUUUGGCAAGGUGCGGCAAGAGCUCCAGGCUCUCAUGGAAAAACAUGAGAGUUUGGAGCUUGACUCAAAGACGCGAGCGUCCGAGCUCGCGGUGGCUAUUGAAAACGCCAAGUCUGCCAAGGCCGAAUCCCAGAAGACCCUCCAGGAGUUGGAUGAGAUGAAGAAGAUAGCGGCGGGUAAGGCAUUCUUUAUGCAAAGCAAACACAUAAACGUGAGUUACUUGUUACUUACCCGAAUCUGGAGCUCUCCAGGAGCGUUCGUAGAUCUUCCCCGGAGUGUAUCCGAUGCCGCCGUAUUCUACUGAGCCGAGGAGGGCAGCUCGACAGAGAAGGUGUUCUGGUCUCAGUAUACUGAGGCCGGACACCCCAUGCCCCUGAGCGACUAGCUGAAGCAACUGGUCAAGCUCCACAAGGCGGCCGAACAGGCCAUGAAGGGCCUCAUUGUUCGGCUAUGGCCUGGAGGGGCUCUGCCUGGGAGCUAUUUCGGGCUGGUGCGGCGGUUGGUGGAGGCCUGUCCAAGGCUCGAAGUCAUCAAGCGCUCCGUCUGCAUUGAAGGUGCCCGUAGGGCCCUUGCCCGUGCUAAGGUGCACUGGGGCAAGCUGGAUGCUAAGAAGCUGGUGAAGGACGGGUCACCACCGGGGAAAGAGAAUCACAAGCCCGAGAAUUACUAUAAGGAUGUUCUGAAGUGUGCCUGCCUUGUGGCGGAUGAAUGUUCUAGGGAUGUAAUGUUUGAGUGAAACUUGCUCGUUUUGUCCUGUGCGCUGAAAACUUGUUUAUAUGCACUAAGCAAUGUUGUUGGAAUUUAUAAUAUUACCUUUUGUGCGGCUGUUUAUCAAUUCUGAGAGAUGGCGAGUCAUCGGCUUCUGCCCCCGUGCCGCUAGUGCUGGGGUGUUCGGGGAUAAACCUGAGCGCUCCUUUUCCCAUGUUUGGGUCCUUCGAGGGAGGCGCUCAGCCCAACGAACAAGGCAAUCGGACUAUAAUGCGUGAACACUCUCACUUAGCCAUAUAAUUCUAUAAUUUUAAAUUUGGGCAAAGCCCCUGGUAUUCGGAAGACCGAGUUCGGGGCGCUAUCCACGCCUUGGCCGGACAGAGCCGGCUCCUCGCCCUAAGCGGCAUAAGUCUUUAUUGACUCGAAAAACCUCUCGAAUAGCGACCGGCUCUCGCUUCAUCAUGAUAGUCAGUUUUAGCUUUCUCCACUGAGGUGCUCGACCCAGCUCAACUGGGGCACAAUCGCAGUGGUUCUCCUAGUGCUACCUUAGCCGAUAUAGCGGAAUGUAAGGCACCAAAACAUAGGAGCCGGGCAAACCCAACUAUUGACCCAAGACAUGAUUCGGAGCCGAUGCAUAUAAUGCUGUAAGUUCGGGGUGCCGCACUUGUUAAAGUGUUCGGACUUCUCACACCAUAUUGAGGGGUACUAAAGCCCCUGGCAUAUUUUGGCCGUACCAAUGUGUACGGGUGCAACAUGUCGUUAAGGAACAUACAUAAAAAGAAAAAAAGUAAUGCAAAAAUAGACGAAAGCUAUGCAUUGUUUAUUAAAAAGGGCUGCGAUCAAAGCAGAACGAUACAAAUAAUGCGAUAAGUGGAAGGUUGGACUAGUUAACAUGUCCGUUCCAGGGGCAAGUUGUGGAAUAGUAUGCGGAACAGGUAUACUGCUCGUGAUAGAGACCACCUGGGAGUUCCGUACUGCGGCGUGGCUUGUCUGCUUCCCUGGUUCUUGCAUCGUUUGUGCGGCAAUUGAACUGCCGAACAGGCCUUCCGAAGGAUGGAGUCCUAAAAGUAAGAGAAAAAUAAAAAAAAUCGGCAGCCCCUGGUACGGUUUAAGCCGUAUUUUUGGGCGUGCCGUGAUGGUGCCCCUCCCCCUGUACCCAUGGUAUCUCUAGGGCAUAGUUAUGGACGCGAAGUAAUGGCGUCGCCUUUUUGCGAGGGUUGGGGUUGGGGCCGCAUUGCUACGCCUGCUCGGAUCGUGCUAGGCGGUCUUGUUGUAGGUUACGCCGGGCGCGCUUGACGGUGUCCGGUCGUUUAGUGGCCGGACUGGAGAACUGCCUGGAGAGGCUGCUUUGUACUUCCGCUGCAAGGGCCGCCGUGUGCUCCUCCGUUCGGAGGGAGCAUUCGGUGUUUCCAUUGACUGUAAUUACUUCUCGAGGGCCUGGCAUCUUGAGCUUAAGGUAUGCGUAGUGCGGUACCACAUUGAACUUAGCGAAUGCGGUUCACCCGAGCAGUGCGUGAUAACCACUGCGAAACGGGACUAUGUCGAAGAUUAACUCCUCGCUUCGGAAAUUAUCCGGAGAUCCGAAGACCACUUCAAGUGUAACUGAGCCUGUACAGUUGGCCUCUACACCUGGUAUUAUGCCUUUAAAGGUCGUUUUGGUGGGCUUAAUCCUCGAGGGAUCUAUGCCCAUUUUCCGCACUGUAUCCUGGUAAAGCAGGUUCAGGCUACUGCCGCCGUCCAUAAGGACUCUAGUGAGAUGAAAUCCGUCAAUGAUUGGGUCUAGGACCACUGCGGCGAAUCCGCCAUGAUGGAUGCUAGUGGGAUGGUCCCUUUGAUCAAAGGUGAUCGGGCAGGAGGACCCUGGGUUGAACUUUGGGGCGACUGGCUCUACCGCAUAUACGUCCCUUAACGCGCGCUUCUGCUCCCUUUUGGGGACGUGGGUUGCAUAUAUCAUGUUCACCGUCCGCACUUGUGGGGGAAAACCCUUCUGUCCACUGUUGUUCGGCGGCCGGGGCUCCUCGUCGUCAUCGCCAUGCAGCCCCUUGUCUUCAUUUUUGGUGUUUAACUUGCCUGCCUGCUUGAACACCCAACAAUCCCUGUUAGUGUGAUUGGACGGCUUUUUAGGGGUGCCAUGUAUCUGGCACAAGCGGUCGAGUAUUCGGUCCAAACUGGACGGGCCCCUAGGAUUCCUUUUGAAUGGCUUUUUCCGCUGACCGGAUUUAGAGCCUCUGAAUCUGGCAUUAACUGUCGUAUCCUCAGCAUUGUCACCGUUAAUGCGGCGCUUCUGCUUGUUGCGACGCGACCUGCCACUACUGUCCCUGGUGUCUGAAUUACCAGGGUUUUUGGUCAUAUUGUUGCUACGAGCAAGCCAGUUGUCUUCUCCCGCGCAAAAGCGGGUCAUGAGUGUCGUGAGUGCUGCCAUAGAUUUCGGCUUUUCCUGUCCAAGGUGCCGGGCCAUCCACUCAUCACGGAUAUUGUGCUUGAAGGCUGCUAGGGCCUCAGCGUCCGGACAGUCGACUAUUUGAUUUUUCUUUGUUAGGAACUGUGUCCAGAAUUGCCUGGCCGAUUCCUCUGGCUGCUGAAUUACGUGACUUAUGUCAUCGGCGUCUGGGGGUCGCACAUAAGUGCCCUGGAAAUUGUCAAGGAAUGCGGCUUCCAGGUCCUCCCAACAACUGAUUGAUCCUGUUGGCAAGCUGUUAAGCCAAUGCCGAGCUGGUCCUUUAAGCUUGAGUGGGAGGUAUUUGAUGGUGUGGAAAUCAUCGCCGCGGGCCAUGUGGAUAUGAAGGAGAUAAUCCUCGAUCCAUACCGUAGGAUCUGUUGUGCCAUCAUAUGAUUCGAUGUUUACGGGUUUGAAACCCUCGGGGAUUUGAUGAUCCAUUAUUUCGUCAGUAAAGCAGAGUGGGUGUGCGGCACCUCUGUACUGGGCUAUAUCAUGACGUAGCUCCAAUGAGCUUUGUCCACUGUGUUCGGCCCCGUCGAAUUUGUGGCCGGCGUGACGCUUACCGUCUCGAGCCGUGGGGCGCCCACGCGAUCCGUAGAUCGAUCUUGUUUGCCUUGCCUUGUCCUCCAACAUGUCUCGUAAGUCCGGCGCAUAUUCUCGUGCCUUGGUAGGGGGUGCGGCUUGAGUUGAGGGCCGAGAGGCCUCUCUGUCGCCACCACGAGGUGGCCGAUCGGCCGCAUCAAGUGCUUCCUCCUCUAAUCGGGGUAGCAACCUGCGCUUUGGGUAGCUCUUGGAGGGGCGUUCGAGUUUAUGCUCUUCGGCCGCAAGGACUUCAGUCCAUCUGUCGACUAGCAAAUCUUGAUCAGCUCUAAGAUGUUGCUGUUUUUUCUUGAGGCUUCUUGCCGUGGCCAUAAGCCUGCGUUGAAAACGCUUUUGCUCGACGGGAUCCUCUGGCACGACGAAUUUGUCGUCAUCGAGGCUUGCCUCGUCUUCGGAGGGAGGCAUAUAAUUAUCGUCCUCGACCUCUCUGUCUGCCGCUCUCUCAUGAGGGCUGGUUUCUCCAUCCUCCUGUGCUAAAUCUUGCUAGAGGGGGUUUUCUUCAGCGCUUUCCAGAGUAUUAUUUUCUCCCGUGCUAGAAUCACCUUGUUCGUUUUGGCGGGAUUUUGAGCGGCGCCGCUGACGCCGAUGCUUAGGCUGUUUCUUGGAGGGUUCAUCCUCCGCUGUUCCAUCGCCAUCUCCCUCUUUUGGGGUGUCCACCAUGUAUAUGUCAUACGAUGAGGUGGCUUUCCAGGGCCUAGUAGGCGCUGAUUCUUCAUCAUCUCCUUCAUCGGCGUCCAUACUGUCGAUGUCUUCGGAGUCGAAGUCGAGCAUGUCAGUUAAGUCGUCGACAGUGGCAACAAAGUGGGUGGUGGGUGGGCUUUGAAUUUCUUCAUCGUCCGUACCCCAACCUUGCUGACCGUAGUCCGGCCAGGGCUCUCCUGAUAAAGAGAGAGACUUCGGUGACUUCAGGAUAUCGCCAAGAGGCGAGUGCUGAAAGAUGUCUGCGGCAGUGAACUCCAUGAUCGGCGCCCAAUCGGAUUCGAUCGGUAGGCGCGCGGAGGGUUCAGAGUUCGGAGAGGAGUCCAGCUCCUUGGAGUCACGAGUCUCGCAGAGUACGGGGCUGGUGCUUGGCUCAAUCGCCUUUGGGGUCGCAGCCCCCGAGGUGGCGUCCAACCGCCCAUCCUCGAUCGGCACAGUUGGCUCCGAAUUAAGGGUCGGAGACGAUGCGGGUGCGGCCUCCAGGGCACUGUUCGGCGGCAGAGCUAGAUCAUGCUCGUCGAGACAGUGCGGUGCGCUCGGCAGUGGCUCGAAUCCGUCGAAGAUCAAGUCCCCGCGGAUGUCAGCCGUGUAGUUUAAACUUCCAAAUCUGACCUGACGGCCAGGGGCGUAGCUUUCGAUCUGCUCCAGACGGCCAAGCGAAUUGGCCCGUAGUGCGAAGCCGCCGAAAACGAAGAUCUGUCCAGGGAGGAAGGUCUCACCCUGGACUGUAUCGCUAUUGAUGAUCGUAGGAGCCAUCGAGCCUGAUGGCGACGACAAAGAGGAACUCUCAAUGAAAGCACCAAUGUCGGUGUCAAAACCGGCGGAUCUCGGGUAGGGGGUCCGGAACUGUGCGUCUAGGCCAGAUGGUAACAGGAGGCAAGGGACACGAAGUUUUACCCAGGUUCGGGCCCUCUCGAUGGAGGUAAAACCCUACGUCCUUCUUGAUUAAUAUUGAUGAUAUGGGUAGUACAAGAGUAGAUCUACCACGAGAUCGAGGAGGCUAAACCCUAGAAGCUAGCCUAUGGUAUGAUUGUUGAUGUGUACGUUGUCCUACGGACUAAAACCCUCCGGUUUAUAUAGACACUAGAGAGGGUUGGGGUUACACAAAGUCGGUUACAAUGGUAGGAGAUCUUCAUAUCCGUAUCGCCAAGCUUGCCUUCCACGCCAAGGAAAGUCCCUUCCGGACACGGGACGGAGUCUUCAAUCUUGUAUCUUCAUAGUCCAGGAGUCCGGCUGAAGGUAUAGUCCGGCUAUCCGAACACCCCUAAUCCAGGACUCCCUCAAUAUGGAUCUGUUAUUUUAGUUUAUAUCCCAUGAAGUCUCUUUCCUUUGUGAAGCAUGAAAUUGCAUCGGUCCUAACCAUGUAUUGUCAUAUCGCGCAACCCAGGAAUUGAUGAUAUUAAAAGAGAAGUAUGAUGAUCAGUUGUAUGAAAAUAUUCGAUACAUCCAGGACUAUGGUCAUGAGAGGAUUGUUCCUACAGGACCAAUGAAUGUUAAAUAUAUCACUAACCAUGUAUUGUCAUAUUUGCGCAUCCUAGGAACUGAUGAGAUUAAAAGAGAAGUAUGGUUCCAGUUGUAUGGAAAGAUUUGAUACAUCCAAGACUACAGUAAUGACAAAAUUUUCUCUAGAGGACUAGUGAAUAUUUUAUAUAAAUUCCGACAAUGGACUUCACAUACUUUAUAUUGUGUAUCAUUUGGUCUUGGUUUUGUUGUUUUCUUGAGGAAUGUAGGUAUAUUGUUGUUUUCUUGAGGAACACAUGUUAUCUAUGGUAUGUACUCAGUUU